UCGAGCGGGGAAGGUAGCUUGCUACCUGACCUAACGGCGGACGGGUGAGUAAUGCUUAGGAAUCUGCCUAUUAGUGGGGGACAACAUUCCGAAAGGAAUGCUAAUACCGCAUACGCCCUACGGGGGAAAGCAGGGGAUCUUCGGACCUUGCGCUAAUAGAUGAGCCUAAGUCAGAUUAGCUAGUUGGUGGGGUAAAGGCCUACCAAGGCGACGAUCUGUAGCGGGUCUGACAAGAUGAUCCGCCACACUGGGACUGACACACGGCCCAGACUCCUACGGGAGGCAGCAGUGGGGAAUAUUGGACAAUGGGCGAAAGCCUGAUCCAGCCAUGCCGCGUGUGUGAAGAAGGCCUUUUGGUUGUAAAGCACUUUAAGCGAGGAGGAGGCUACUUAGAUUAAUACUCUAGGAUAGUGGACGUUACUCGCAGAAUAAGCACCGGCUAACUCUGUGCCAGCAGCCGCGGUAAUACAGAGGGUGCGAGCGUUAAUCGGAUUUACUGGGCGUAAAAGCGUGCGUAGGCGGCUUUUUAAGUCGGAUGUGAAAUCCCCUGAGCUUAACUUAGGAAUUGCAUUCGAUACUGGGAAGCUAGAGUAUGGGAGAGGAUGGUAGAAUUCCACGUGUAGCUCUGAAAUGCGUAGAGAUCUGGAGGAAUACCGAUGGAGAAUGCAGGCAUCUGGUCCUAUUACUGACGCUG
rnacentral:rRNA from 1 species